rnacentral:rRNA from 1 species
UACGUAGGGUGCAAGCGUUUGUCCGGAAUUAUUGGGCGUAAAGAGCUCGUAGGCGGUCUGUCACGUCGGACGUGAAAAUCCGGGGCUCAACCCCGGACUUGCGGUGGGUACGGGCAGACUAGAGUGUGGUAGGGGAGACUGGAAUUCCUGGUGUAGCAGUGAAAUGCGUAGAUAUCAGGAGGAACACCGAUGGCGAAGGCGGGUCUCUGGGCUGACACUGACGCUCAUGCACGAAAGCGUGGGGAGCAAACAGG